rnacentral:rRNA from 1 species
AUUACUGGGCGUAAAGAGCUCGUAGGUGGUUUGUCGCGUUGUUCGUGAAAUCUCACGGCUUAACUGUGAGCGUGCGGGCGAUACGGGCAGACUUGAGUACUGCAGGGGAGACUGGAAUUCCUGGUGUAGCGGUGGAAUGCGCAGAUAUCAGGAGGAACACCGGUGGCGAAGGCGGGUCUCUGGGCAGUAACUGACGCUGAGGAGCGAAAGCGUGGGGAGCGAACAGGAUUAGAUACCCUGGUAGUCCACGCCGUAAACGGUGGGUACUAGGUGUGGGUUUCCUUCCUUGGGAUCCGUGCCGUAGCUAACGCAUUAAGUACCCCGCCUGGGGAGUACGGCCGCAAGGCUAAAACUCAAAGAAAUUGACGGGGGCCCGCACAAGCGGCGGAGCAUGUGGAUUAAUUCGAUGCAACGCGAAGAACCUUACCUGGGUUUGACAUGCACAGGACGCCGGCAGAGAUGUCGGUUCCCUUGUGGCCUGUGUGCAGGUGGUGCAUGGCUGUCGUCAGCUCGUGUCGUGAGAUGUUGGGUUAAGUCCCGCAACGAGCGCAACCCUUGUCUCAUGUUGCCAGCGGGUAAUGCCGGGGACUCGUGAGAGACUGCCGGGGUCAACUCGGAGGAAGGUGGGGAUGACGUCAAGUCAUCAUGCCCCUUAUGUCCAGGGCUUCACACAUGCUACAAUGGCCGGUACAAAGGGCUGCGAUGCCGCGAGGUUAAGCGAAUCCUUUUAAAGCCGGUCUCAGUUCGGAUCGGGGUCUGCAACUCGACCCCGUGAAGUCGGAGUCGCUAGUAAUCGCAGAUCAGCAACGCUGCG